rnacentral:lncRNA from 1 species
GUCUAUGAUUUUGUUGAAGACAUUUUUGGGUCCUUUGAGCUGGGAAUCUUCAUUCUCCUCUAUUCCUAUUAUUCUUAGAUUUGGUUUUUCAUUGUGUCCUGAAUUUCCUGGAUGCUUUGGGCUGGGAGCUUUUUAUGUUUUGAAUUUUCUUUGACAAUUGUGUCAAUCUCUUCUAUGGUAUCUUCCACACCUGAGAUUCUCUCUUCUAUCUCUUGUAUUCUAUUGUUGUUACUUACAUCUGUAACUCCUGACCUCUUUCCUCAGUGUUCCAUUUCCAGGUUUGCCUCCAUUUGUGUUUUCUUUCUUGUUUCUACUCCACUUUUAGGUCUUGGAUCUCUUUAUUUAAUUUUUUCACCUGUUUACCUGUGUUUUCCGAUAUUUCUUUCAAUGAAUUAUUGAUAUCCUCCUUAAAGGACUAUGAUCUUUGUGAGAUAGAAUUUUAGGACUGUUUCCCAAUUUUCAGGUGUGUUGUUGUAUUCAGGGCUUGCUUUGGUGGAAGAACUGGGUUCUGAUGAUGCCCAUGUAUAUUGGCUUCUGUUGCUUAUGGCCUUUCACUUGCCUUUCUCCAUCAGGAUAUCCCUGGUUUUUGUUGGUGACUGUCUGGAGUCUACCUCUUUUGUCUCUGGGAUUCCUCAGGUCUCCUGGUAGGCCUGUGUAGCUUCCCCUCCUCCAGCCUGAAACCUGCCUGCCAAGGUUUCACUGUUUACAUCUGGAUGGAGCUUCCCGCUCAAUUGUUCUGCCAUGCCCACUGCUGGAGCCUGCUGCUUUGCUGUUCCGGAGCCAUACACGUGGUCACCCUGCUACUGGACUCCAAGAUUAUUUGGCAGGAAUUGUGCCCCCUUUCCCUGCUUCAUAACUGCAUGCGGAUUAGUAAAAUUGAGCUUUGAUCAGGAUGGCUGUCUUAGCUGCAUCUUUCUCUUGCUGCCUAGCCCCUCUUCUCUUCCAGGUUUCCAAAAUGCCUUUCCAGGCCAGAACCCAGACCUGUGAUCUGCUGGCCAGACACAACAGGCCUGGAGCCUUGGCUAUAGCUGACCACCUAUGGGGCCUUCCAACUGGUGGCUCUUCACAGGGGUAGAGAUGCUGCUGAUCCGUUGCGUUGGAUUUAGUAGAUCUCCUGAGAGGCCUUCAGAUUGUUGAGUUUUCAGUGGCACAGUCAAGCUGUUGUCCAACUGCUCUGAGUGCAGCCAAUCCUCCAGUACUCUGAGUCCAGUGGAUCCUCAACUGCUUUGAGUGUGAGUGCAGCAGGUUCUCUACUAGUCUGAGUGCAAUGGGUCCUCAAUUGCUCUGCAUGUAGAGGGUCCUCAACUGUUCUGAGUUUAGUGGGUCCUCAAUGCUCUGAGUGCAGUGGGUUCUCUAGGAUAGAUCAGGAUAUGGUAUCUUCACUGGAGCAGACAAGUCAAGAGCCUGCUCCCAACAGAAAAUACCAGGCAGCAGAAGGCACAGGAAAGGUUUCAUUUGGCUUACAAUUCCAGUUUACACCAAGACAGGAACUUAAAGCAUCACAUCCAUAUUCAAGCAAGGACAGAGUUGGAUGCUGCCUAUGUGCCUGCUUGCUGUCAGACAGGAGCUUACCAUGGCUGUCCUCUGAAAGGCUCUACCAGCAGCUGAAUGAAACAGAUGCAGAUUCUUACAGCCAAGCAUUGGAUUAAGGUCAGGGACCCCUAUGGAAGAGUUGGAGGUAGGAUUGAAGGAGCUGAAGGGGAUGGGAACCCCAUAGGAAGACCAGCAAUAUCAAUUAAACUGGACCCCUGGGAGCU